GAUCAUGGCUCAGGAUUGAACGCUGGCGGCAUGCCUUACACAUGCAAGUCGAACGGCAGCGGGCCUUCGGGUGCCGGCGAGUGGCGAACGGGUGAGUAAUGCAUCGGAACGUGCCAUUGAGUGGGGAUAACGUAGCGAAAGUUACGCUAAUACCGCAUAUUCUGUGAGCAGGAAAGCAGGGGACCGCAAGGCCUUGCGCUCUUUGAGCGGCCGAUGUCAGAUUAGCUAGUUGGUGAGGUAAAGGCUUACCAAGGCGACGAUCUGUAGCGGGUCUGAGAGGAUGAUCCGCCACACUGGAACUGAGACACGGUCCAGACUCCUACGGGAGGCAGCAGUGGGGAAUUUUGGACAAUGGGCGCAAGCCUGAUCCAGCCAUGCCGCGUGAGUGAAGAAGGCCUUCGGGUUGUAAAGCUCUUUCGGCCGGGAAGAAAUCGCAUGGGUUAAUACCCUGUGUGGAUGACGGUACCGGAAUAAGAAGCACCGGCUAACUACGUG
rnacentral:rRNA from 1 species